GUUUAUCUUUCAUUGCUGCUGUUUUUCUCACGCUUCGGAGAUUGUUGAAACGAUGGAUUCUCGAAGAGUCACUUUCCUCUUAUUCUGUGUUUUGAUUUCAGCCUUCAUGAUCUGUCAAACAGAAGCAGUGUUCGGUCCUCGUCAUCCUGGAUCACUAAGGAUGAAAAAAGAUAGAGAAUUAUUUCAGAAGCGUUCAUUUUAUCAAGCGAACACUGUCCGUGACAUUUGUGUGGCUAUGAGGGAAGUUUGUGAACAAGAAAAUGACGAUCAAAACGGACUCUUUCAAUAAGUUCUUUAAGCAGUAAAGAUUAUUUCAAAAUGAAGUGUAAUCUCGUCCGGUAUCCAUGUCAGAGCGAUAAAUAACAAAUAAUAAAUCGCUUGAAAUAUCA